GCUUCUUUCUUGCUGUUUUUAAGAUGUUCUCUUGGUCUUUGUCUUUUGACACUUUGUUUGUGAUGCGUCUUGGUCUCACUUUCUUUGCGUUUAUUUUCCUUGGAGUUGGCUUAGUUUCUUGGAUGUGUAGAUUAAUGUUUUGCAUCACAUUUGCAGAUAUUUUGGUCAUUAUUUUGUCAAAUAUGCUUUUCAUCCCUUCCUCUUGUCUCCAUUUUGGACUCCUGUUAUGCAUGUGUUUAUAUGCCUCAUGGAAUCCUAACGGUCUCUGAGAAUCUGUUCAUUUUUUGUCAUUCUUUUUCUUUUCUGUUCCUCACACUGGAUCACCUCUAUUAAUCUAUAUUUCAGAAUCUUAAUUUUUAAUUCAGGCUACUCAAAUCUGCUGUUAGGCUCCUCCAGUGAAUCUUCAUUUCAGUUUUUAUAAUUUUUGUAUUCCAGAAUUGCUAUUUACUGUUUUUAAAAAAAUGAUUUCUAUAUUUUUAUUGAUAUUCUGUAUUUGGUAAGAUAUCAUUUUCAGACUUUUCUUUUUAAGAUAUAUUUGCCCUUAGUUUUUUAGAGAUAUUUAAAAUUGAUGAUUCAAGUCUUUCUCUGGUAAGUAUAAUGUCUGGGCUUCCUCAAGUAUAGUUUCUUUUGAUUGCUUUUUUUUUUCCUGUGUUUGGGCCAUAACUUAUUGUUUCUUUACAUGUAGUAUAGUUUUUUUUCUUAAGACCUGGACAUUUUAAAUAAUGUAAUGUGGCAGCCGUAUGAAUCAACUUUUCUCCCCCUCUCCAUCCAAGGUUUUUUGUUGUUUGUUUAGCGGCUUUUCAGAACUAAUUUUGUCAGCCUAGAUUAUUUGUCACGUGUAACUGCUGAAAUCUCUGCUCAGUUAAGUGUGGAGGUUGGCUAAUGAUUGAAUGGCAGAUUCCUUAAAUAUCUGGAACCAAUAAGUUUCCAAAUAUUUGGAACCAAUAAGGGGCUCUAUGUGUAUUGAGGCCUGCCUUUAAUGGUCAGUGGUAUGGUUGUUGUGUCUACCUUAGCCAUCAAUUGCUGCUUGCACAGAGCCUCAAGGUCAGCCAGAGGCAAGAACUUGGGAACCUCUCAGGUCUUUUCUGAGAAUGCCCAUAGCCCUGGACAUGCACGUAGCCUUACACAUAUAUGUGGCCUUCUAGGCCAGAAAUAUGUCAGGCUUAUGUGGACAUCUCAUUACUCAGCUUUUACUUUACAUUUUUUAGUUAGCCUCAUUCCACCUGUUAGCCACUGCUUCAGGCAGCCAUAAUGUGUAACAAUUGCUACUGAUGUGUUUUCUAGAAGUGCCUCCCCUUCAUCCUAGAAAAGGCCAUUUGCACUGUUUGUAUUUUAUUUGAGUCAGUCAAAUAAAGACAAGCCUUGGGAGUGGGAUAUUUCAAAGACCCACCUGACAGGUUGCAAAAUGACAGUUCUCUGAGAAUAGGGCUUUCAAGGAGUUCAAUCCCUUUAUUUGUCCUUCAGUGGUUUCAGGCUUCUGGUUUUCACUGUGAUUGCUGGCUGUUGGUUUUUAAGGCUACCAAGGAACAAGAGAGGAGGGGAUGGGAAUAAGGCAAUUAAAAAUGUCACAAAACCCUCUGUUCUUGCCUAGAUUUAGCCAUUUUUCAUGAGCAGAGGAUCCCUGGAUUAAUGCAAGCCUUGGUUAAUUUCUAGAGGUCAGGAAAGAAUGAUUAUGACAGUUUUGCCAAUGUAUUUAUUGCUUGUAUGAAGGGGAAAAUUUUUGGAGGUUAUUACUGCCAUUCACAGUGAUAUCUGCGUUGUUUUUUUACAGUGAAAACCUGAAAACAGCCUGACAACAAGAACAUUCAUACCGUGGAAUACUGUGAAACUAUUCAGAAGAAUGAGUUUUCCUCUUGACCUGGAGGAGUGUGACAAUGUUUUAAAUGAGAAAAAUUAAAGAGAAAGAGAGAGGCCCAGAUGGUUCCUGAACUCCAGACAAGUGUAUGCACCUGAUUCCCUGACAGCCCUCCUUAGAUGUCCUGUCGGCGACUCAAACUCAGUGUGUCCAAUGCCCAACUCUGCACUGUGGUCUGGGCCAGGAAGAGUGCCUAUGGCAUGCUUUUGGACUGCCAUUUGUGUUUGUCUGUGGACAGGUGGUUUCAGUACACAGACUGAGUCCUCCAAGGCUUACAAGCUGGUCCACUUGGACCUUGCAAUUAACAGAGAUUGCUGACUGUGUGUAACUGCCGCAAGGGGUCAAAAGUGCCUGGUUUGCACAACAUCUCCCUGGCAUUCUUACAUGUGUGGUUAUGGAAUUGGUGCAGUGAGGGGUCAGGGAGCAGAGGGAUUUGCAUGCGCUUGAUCUCUUUCAUAUCAGAGCUACUUUCUGAAACCCAGCACAGGGAAGCAUGUCAUGUACAUGGGACCUAAGGUGGUAACCUUCACCCAGCUGGAGACUUCAGAGAGUAUUCGUAUUGGGGACCAGCAGCCUGUGGUGUUGUCCCCCAGAGACGGGGAGAGAGCUGCUGCCUGCAGAGUGGCUGCUCCUGCUUCACAUGCCCCCUGGCUUCUGAGUCCCUCCAUCCCCUAGCUGGGCACGAGAGUACCAAGAGGCCCAGUAGGAGGAGAAGCCUUCAUGGAGGACAGAGGGCAAGAGCAGGCCUACCAUGCUGACUUCCUCGCCUUGUGUCUGGCUGACUGCACAGGCGUGAGGAGGUAACCAACAACAGAAACAGAUCCGGAUGAACGAGCAAAAAAGACUUGACUGAACAAGUUUCCCCAGAAUGGAGAGGAACGGGGGCAGCUCUGGGGGUGCAUGGCAGAAGCUCGUGGACCAUUUCACUGACACCCCAGGAGCAAAUCAGUCCGACUUGUGUUUGGCCCUUGAGUCCUCCCUGCUCAAGGCUUGGAGCCCUGGAGAAUUGAGGGCAAUCACCAUACUGCAUGCCAUGAUGGUGGCUCCCCUGGAGGAAGUUGGGGUGCUGAGACUAGAGCAUGCCUUCUCCAAAUGUUGAUUUCCCCAGGAAAAUACCAGCUCCCCUAAAUAAGGAUGCGUCUAUCUGCGAGGGUGAUAGUGUCACCCUUGUUAUUCAUACAUUCCGUGGGCCUGAGAACUUAGCUGGAAUAUACUGUGUUAAAUAGUAAUAUUUAUUCUUAUUUGAGUUGUUUUCUUUUUAGGGGUUGUUUCUAGUUGCCACAUUUGUCUUCCUUCAGUGUUUCCACAUUUAACAUUAGUAUUUUCAUGCUAUAUUUGUAGGGACACAUAUACACUUGUUCCCAUGUCUUGAGCCCCUUGGUGCUAAUUACAUUGUCAGUUUUA